GACGAACGCUGGCGGCGUGCUUAACACAUGCAAGUCGAACGGAAAGGCCUCUUUCGGGGGGUACUCGAGUGGCGAACGGGUGAGUAACACGUGAGUAACCUGCCCUUGACUUUGGGAUAACUUCAGGAAACUGGGGCUAAUACCGGAUAGGAGCUCCUGCUGCAUGGUGGGGGUUGGAAAGUUUCGGCGGUUGGGGAUGGACUCGCGGCUUAUCAGCUUGUUGGUGGGGUAGUGGCUUACCAAGGCUUUGACGGGUAGCCGGCCUGAGAGGGUGACCGGCCACAUUGGGACUGAGAUACGGCCCAGACUCCUACGGGAGGCAGCAGUGGGGAAUAUUGCACAAUGGGUGGAGGCCUGAUGCAGCAACGCCGUGGGCGGGAGGACGGCCUUCGGGUUGUAAACCGCUUUCGCUCAUGACGAAGCUUUGUGUGACGGUAGUGGGUAAAGAAGCACCGGCUAACUACGUG
rnacentral:rRNA from 1 species